UACGGAGGGUGCAAGCGUUAUCCGGAUUUACUGGGUUUAAAGGGUGCGUAGGUGGGUUUGUAAGUCAGCGGUGAAAUCUCCAGGCUUAACCUGGAAAUUGCCAUUGAUACUAUAGAUCUUGAAUUAUCUGGAGGUAAGCGGAAUAUGUCAUGUAGCGGUGAAAUGCUUAGAUAUGACAUAGAACACCAAUUGCGAAGGCAGCUUACUACGGGUACAUUGACACUGAGGCACGAAAGCGUGGGGAUCAAACAGG
rnacentral:rRNA from 1 species